GUUUUUUUGGCAACACAUAUGCUAAAAUUGAAAUGACAUAGAGAUUAUCAUGGUCCCUGUGCAACUGUGACAUGCAAAUUUCUGAAGCAUUCAGGGUAGCA
ensembl:snRNA U6 U6 spliceosomal RNA